AUUGAACGCUGGCGGCAGGCCUAACACAUGCAAGUCGAACGGUAACAGGAAACAGCUUGCUGUUUCGCCGACGAGUGGCGGACGGGUGAGACAUGUCUGGGAAACUGCCUGAUGGAGGGGGAUAACUACUGGAAACGGUAGCUAAUACCGCAUAACGUCGCAAGACCAAAGAGGGGGACCCUCGGGCCUCUUGCCAUCGGCUGUGCCCAGAUGGGAUUAGCUUGUUGGUGGGGUAACGGCUCACCAAGGCCACGAUCCCUAGCUGGUCUGAGAGGAUGACCAGCCACACUGGAACUGAGACACGGUCCAGACUCCUACGGGAGGCAGCAGUGGGGAAUAUUGCACAAUGGGCGCAAGCCUGAUGCAGCCAUGCCGCGUGUAUGAAGAAGGCCUUCGGGUUGUAAAGUACUUUCAGCGGGGAGGAAGAGAGUAAAGUUAAUACCUUUGCUCAUUGACGUUACCCGCAGAAGAAGCACCGGCUAACUCCGUG
rnacentral:rRNA from 1 species